GAGGAAAGUCCGGGCUCCAUAGGGCAGGGUGCCAGGUAACGCCUGGGAGGCGCAAGCCUACGACAAGUGCAACAGAGAGCAAACCGCCGAUGGCUCGCGCAAGCGAGAUCAGGUAAGGGUGAAAGGGUGCGGUAAGAGCGCACCGCGCGGCUGGCAACAGUCCGUGGCAUGGUAAACUCCACCCGGAGCAAGGCCAAAUAGGGGUUCACAUGGUACGGCCCGUACUGAACCCGGGUAGGCUGCUUGAGCCAGUGAGCGAUUGCUGGCCUAGACGAAUGACUGUCCACGACAGAACCCGGCUUA
rnacentral:RNase_P_RNA from 1 species